rnacentral:rRNA from 1 species
GAUACUUACAUGAAACACAUGUUUUAUGUAUAAAAGGAGCCUUUAAAGCUUCGCUAAAAGAUCGGGGUGCGCAACAUUAGUUAGUUGGUAGGGUAAUGGCCUACCAAGACUAUGAUGUUUAACGGGGUUGAGAGACUGAACCGUCACACUGGGACUGAGAUACGGCCCAGACUCCUACGGGAGGCAGCAGUAGGGAAUUUUCCACAAUGGGCGAAAGCCUGAUGGAGGCAACACAGCGUGCAGGAUGAAGGCCUUCGGGUUGUAAACUGCUGUUAUUUAGGAUGAAAAAAUAAUAGAGGAAAUGCUAUUAUCUUGACAGUACUAAAUCAGAAAGCAACGGCUAACUAUGUGCCAGCAGCCGCGGUAAUACAUAGGUUGCAAGCGUUAUCCGGAAUUAUUGGGCGUAAAGCGUCUGUAGGUUGUUUGUUAAGUUUGACGUCAAAACUUGGGGCUCAACCCCAAAUCGCGUUGGAUACUGGCAAACUAGAAUUGUGUAGAGGUUAAUGGAAUUCCUUGUGAAGCGGUGAAAUGCGUAGAUAUAAGGAAGAACACCAACCAUGCGAAGGCAAUUAACUGGGCACAUAUUGACACUGAGAGACGAAAGCGUGGGGAGCAAACAGGAUUAGAUACCCUGGUAGUCCACGCUGUAAACGAUGAUGAUUAGCUAAUGAGGACCAUUGCCACAGCUAACGCAUUAAAUCAUCCGCCUGAGUAGUAUGCUCGCAAGAGUGA